rnacentral:rRNA from 1 species
AGAGUUUGAUCAUGGCUCAGAUUGAACGCUGGCGGUAUGCUUAACACAUGCAAGUCGGACGGCAGCAUGAUGUGUAGCGAUACACAUUGAUGGCGAGUGGCGGACGGGUGAGAAACGCGUAGGAAUCUGCCUUGUAGAGGGGGACAACUGGAGGAAACUCCAGCUAAUACCGCAUAAACUCUGAGGAGGAAAGGCUGGGUAGCAAUACCUGGCGCUACAAGAGGAGCCUGCGUCCGAUUAGCUAGUUGGUAGGGUAAAGGCCUACCAAGGCGAUGAUCGGUAGCUGGUCUGAGAGGAUGAUCAGCCACACUGGGACUGAGACACGGCCCAGACUCCUACGGGAGGCAGCAGUGGGGAAUAUUGGACAAUGGGGGCAACCCUGAUCCAGCAAUACCGCGUGUGUGAAGAAGGCCUUCGGGUUGUAAAGCACUUUAGAUUGGGAAGAAGGCUUAAGGUUUAAGAGAUCUUAAGUUUGACGGUACCGAUAGAAUAAGCACCGGCUAACUCUGUGCCAGCAGCCGCGGUAAUACAGAGGGUGCGAGCGUUAAUCGGAGUUACUGGGCGUAAAGGGCGCGUAGGCGGUUGUAUAAGUGAGAUGUGAAAUCCCUGGGCUUAACCUAGGAACGGCAUCUUAUACUGUAUAACUGGAGUAUUGUAGAGGGUAGUGGAAUUUCCGGUGUAGCGGUGAAAUGCGUAGAGAUCGGAAGGAACACCAGUGGCGAAGGCGGCUACCUGGACAAAUACUGACGCUGAGGCGCGAAAGCGUGGGGAGCAAACAGGAUUAGAUACCCUAGUAGUCC